CACUUUCAUUUUGAAUUCACGGUCUUGCAUCUCUCUCUCCACCUCUUUCUCUCUCACACAGAUCUCGCCCAGAAAAUUUCAAAAUCGAAUGUUUUUUUCGAUUCACGGUUCUUGUGUAAUGCGUUCUACAUUAUCGUCGUUGUUUAGGUUAAACCAUUAAUCUUCAGUAACGUGUUAUCAUAAUCGAUUUCAUUUAUUCUUAAUCAUUAAAAACAAUUUAAUUAGGGUUUUGUGAGAAAAAAUUAGAGAAAAAUCAGAUCUCGGUGAAGAACAAUUUGAUCUCUAGCUUCAAUAUGAAGCAAUUGAAGAAAGAAACUCAUCUACAUGUUGAAAACAAAAAUUCAGAAAACAAAGAUCAUCAACUCUUUCAUUUCUGCUGCUGCAAAUCUUCAUCACAAUCUUCGUCGUUGUCGUCAAUAGAAUUGAUAAACAACAAAUCAGCGAAGAACACAAUCAGGAAAAAAUGGUGAAAAAAUCUCUAUUAGAACCUUGCAACAACAAACCUAAAAAGAUCAACAAAGAAAUUGAGGUCGAAAUUGAAUCUGAUUCAGAAAAUACAGGAUCAGAUGAAGAAAAACUGAUGAUUAAGUAAAAAAACAAAAAAGCUAGAAGCAUCAAAUAAGAAGAAAUCUAAGAGAUGUACGGGGAAAAAAUGGAAGCAUAAGAAGGUAUAAAUGAUUUUGUUUUCUCUUCUUGUUGAUUUUUCCUGCAUUUAGGCAUUUUUCUGCAAAAAUCAAAGGUGAUAUAUCCUGCAUAGUAGGUGUUUGUGAAUAUAUCCUACACAUAAAUGGAAGCCGAUGAAGAAUAAGUUACUAAAUGCUUUUGUUAUCUUUUCUGAUGGAUUUUUCCUUCAUGAAAACAAAACUUUAGGUAUUUUUCUGCAACAAUCAAAAGUGUGGAUAUAUCCUGCACAAUAAAUUUUUGUGGACAUAUCCUACACAGAAUUAUUAAUGUGUGUUGCUCUUAAUUCCUGAUUGUGAACAUAAUUCCCGCACAAAGUCUCACAUGUGCAUAUUUGUUGUACAUUUUUGGUUAAGCAUAUUGUAAUAGUUUCCUUGUACGUCUUCUUGUCAAUUUUGUUGUAAAAUUUAUGCGUAUAUUAUAGUUUUGUUCAUCUUUUCAUACUAGCCUGUAUAGCUUCGAUUUAUAUAUCAGUUGGAUACUUGAGUCUAAACGUCUAUUCGCCUAAGGAUGACGAGGAGCGUGAAAUUCAGCUUAGGAUGGUUAAUCGACACCAUCUUGUGCUGUCUAUUUAUGCCCAUAAGGUAAUUUUCACUAUUAGACUUCAUUACUUACUGAAUGUUCACUUGAUCUAGUUUGUGCAUAUUUUCUUCACAGAUCUAGUUUGCGCAUAAUUCCUGCACAGUUUAGCUUGUGCGUAUUCCCUUCACAUAUAUAGUUUCUGCAUCAUUACUGCACAGGUUUAGCUUGUAUAUUUUGUUGUUCCAAUGUCUCCUCAUUGUGUAGUUGCUAGUAUUGUGGCUAAGUUGGGAAACAUCAUUGAAAUAUGUAUAUAUAUAUAUAUGUGAUGGUUGUGAAAAACAUACUAAAUCUACACUUAUUUUCAUCUCGAUUCAUCACUACUUUUAAUGUUAUACUACUAGAUUCAUAUAUCAUAGACUAAAAUUUGCUUCUCUACUAGAUUUAUAUAUAGUAAAUGAUGCUUGUAUAUUUUCCACACCGAUAGAGUUUGUGCAUGUUUUCUUCACGGAUAAAGGUUGUACAUAUUUCUUAAUUUGCAAUGAUCUAUUUUAUGCCGGAGAUCAUUUUUCUAAAUGUGAUAGGAUUGGUUGUUUAUACGUCUACGCUAUGUGAUUUUUUUGUUGCAUUAGUGUAGAUCAUUGUUUCAUAUAAGCACAAAAAGUUUAUACGUCUACAUUAAUUCUCUCUAUUAGUAUAGGUCAUUGUUACAUUAGUGUAGGUCAUUGUUGCACUGGUCUAGGUUGAGUAUUUGUUGCGCAUAUACACUUUUGUGUAUGUUUGGAUUUGCCUAUCAAAAAGUGCAUAUUUUCUGCACAUACUGUAUUGUGCAUACUGGUUGCACAAAAUAAACGUGUAUUGGCUGUAAAAAAAAUAAAAUUUUACUAGGUAGCCAAAGAACAUACCUCGAUUUUCACUUAGAGCCUCAAUAAUAUGAAGACCAAACAAACCAUUUCUUAGUUUAAAAGUGUUUUAUUUGUUAAUUUAAUGUUUCCAAAUUCACUUUGCUGCACCCAAAUCCAUUUAAGAGUUUUCUUUUCAUUUUAUUAUCCUUUUAUAAUAAACAGUCCUACGUGUAUAUUCUCUGUACAUAUCUACAUUGAUUAGAUAUCGAUCUGUGGAUUUUCUCUGCACGGAUCAAAAUUUGUGGAUAUGGGUGUAAUAGAUUUUGCAAAUUACCGAGAAAAGAGUCGCAAUCAAUACGAUGAGGUAAUAUGCAUCUAGCAUCUAGAUUUGCUAAUUGCAUUCUUAGUUUCUUUAGUAUAUGAUGAUUCUUUAACUUCUGUAGGAAAAUCUUGUUAUGCGAAUAAGUAGUUUAUAGAGAUUGUUCGACGAUUUUUUCGAUCUAAGGAUACUAUUUGCAUUGAUCUAAAGUUAUUAGAAUCGAUUUUGUUAUUAGAAUGUGGACUUUGUUAUAAUGGUUAGCUGAAUGUAAUAGGAAAGACUCAAGUAUAUUACUUAAGUAUAUAUAUAGUUCCAUGGAAAACAGUAGUGUUGUUUUUGUUGUGUUACUGCAGCUUCUUGUGAAUAUUAUCUACACAGAUCUACUUGUGCAUAUUUUAUAUACAAAUUAAGCGUGUGCAUGUUUUCUACACAAAAUCAAAAUUAUUCGAAAUUUUUAGUAUGUAUUCUACAUUUGAUAUGCAAUUGGCGUAGUUAGAAAUAAUUGGUUUUCAACUUAUCUCUAGAAAUUCAGGGUUUUCUACAAUUGAUUUUUUCAGGAUUUUACUUUGUGCUUUAGGAUGCAAAGCCGAACCAGAAAAAGAAAUACAUAUAUAAACCUAGAAUGAUAAUCUUAGGUAUUUUUUAUCUGAGGUGAAAUGGAAUUUAUGUAAAACUCGCAAAUAGGUUUUGAAGACCAGAGUCUCCAAUUAUCUUCAGGUAUUCUCACCCAUUAUGUAUAUUUCCUAUGAAAAUUAAAAUAAGUUCAUGCAUUGUACUACUCUGGUGAUCACAGAUUGAGUAUCCUAAAACUGAACGCGAGAUCGUUUUAUGAAAAUGACAUGACUUAUUAAAUGAACCAGGCCAUAUCUAUUAGGUUUGUGAUUGAUCCAUCUAUUUAUCUUUUACAAUCGUUUCUAAUUUUAUCUGUGAUAGUUUGACCUUUUUGACAAUCCAUGUGAAAUGUUUCUGCAAUUGGUCAUCCUAAAUGUGUCUCGACCUAAGCCCCACAAAUUUGGUUUGCUGAGCGUACCUCAAUAGUGCGCCGACGGAAUUACAAAGAUACAAAUUUGUCUCUGCUUUUGUGCUUCUAACUUUCAUGUUGAUGUCUAUAUUUCUGCAGAAAAACAUUUGUGUGAAUUAUUUAUUCACACGAUGAAUUUUAGUUAAUUUGUACUUGUCGUGCAGAUAGCCAGAUACAUAUAUAUGAUAUGUCUAAAAAUUAACAGAGAAACAAAUGUGUGAAUAGUAUCUGCACGAAAUAAAGUUAUGAAUAAUACUUGCUACGAAUAAAUUUCAGUUAAUUUAUAAUUAUAGUGUAAACUAAAAUAUUGCAAUUUCGUAAAAAAUUCUCUAAUAUGCUCAUAGAAAGCUGCAUCGAGAGAACGCAUAUCAUUCUUACAAAAAGAAAUGGUUUUUGCCAAAUCUGACGGUGGUGAAUGAUCUUUUUUGAGUGAUCGGUGGCUCACAUUCCUCUCAAAGUGCAAACACAAAUCGUGGUUGAGAACGUUCCCUACUUUUACGUCCGAAUCCAACGUCCCAAAUCUCUUUUGCCUUGAUCCCCUUUCGGUUACAAAGCCCAUUAUCACAGAUUUCUCAUAGCACUUAAUCCAUUCUUCUCCUCCAUUAACAACGCCAUUAUAUGUGUCAUUCAAUCCCUUUGAUUCUUACCAUGAUAAGCAUCAUGCAUCACGUUAGAAGAACAAUCCUUUGAAAUUUUCCCUUAUAUAAUCCUCAAUAGACAAUAGUGGUUAUCAUCUUCCUGGGUUUCUCCAUUUCUUUCUUACGCAUACUCUCUCAAGGCUAUUAGAUUUUGGUUGGUAGAGGCCAUCUUGAGAAAGAACCAGCAUCCAUCUCUGGACUGAGAAGAUGGCGUUUUCAAAAUGCAAACAGUAAGGUUACAAAGCAAUCUAUUGGAACAAUUGUCGCUUAUAUUUUGGGAAUAAGAUGAGGGAUUAAGCAACACUAGAAGUCAGUACACAAACGGACCGUGAAAUAGCAGAACGACAAAUUCGUUGGAACCAGCUUCCAACUCAGCCCGGAGUUUUGUCAAAGGUGGUGUAUCAUGAGGUAAAACGUAUGUUCUCCUUAUAUAUUAUUACUAUGGGAAGAAAUGGAUCCACACCAGUUAGUAUUCUAGCAUCGUCCCGUGAGUCUGAGUAUUUAUUAUAAUGUAAGUGCGUAUAUCAAUUAGACAUUCAUUAAGCUAUAGCAUCAUCUGUAAUCUUGAUUGACAAAUUUUUCCUAAUGAUAAUUGUAUCAAUGAGGAGAUGUAGUGAUCUGUUGGAAGACUGCAAGGCUUUGCUUUUGAAUAGUAGUAAUUUUAAUGUUGUUUUUGUUAA